rnacentral:rRNA from 1 species
UGAGGAACAUGACUUUCGGCGGGGGAUAGCCGGCCCAACGGCCGGGUAAUACCGCGUACGACCUUUUGGGGACAUCCCCGAUUGGUGAAAGCAGCAAUGCGCCUAAAGAGUGCCUCGCGGCCUAUCAGCUAGUUGGCGAGGUAACGGCUCACCAAGGCGACGACGGGUAGCUGGUCUGAGAGGAUGGCCAGCCACAUUGGGACUGAGACACGGCCCAGACUCCUACGGGNGCA